rnacentral:lncRNA from 10 species
GAGCCUACAGAGGCAGGCAGGCCUCCUUGAGCUGUGGUGGGCUCCGCCCAGUUGGAGCUUCCUGGCUGCUUUGUUUACCUAAUCAAGCCUGGGCAAUGGCGGGCGCCCCUCCCCCCGCCUCGCUGCCGCCUUGCAGUUUGAUCUCAGACUGCUGUGCUAGCAAUCAGCGAGACUCCGUGGGCGUAGGACCCUCCGAGCCAGAGAUGGGAUCUUACUACAUUGCCCAGGCUGAAGUGCAGUGGCUAUUAACAGCUGUAAUCAUAAUGCAUUGCAGCUUUGAAUUCCUGGGCUUGAGCGACCUCCCCACCUUAGCCUCCUGAGUAGCUGAGACUACAGAUGUGCCUUGCUUCUCCUUCAUUUUCUGCCAUGACUGUAAGUUCCCUGAGGCCUUCCCAUCCAUGUGGAACUGCAUUCUAAUAUAUGCAUUCUUCAUAACAACUGUGUGAAACAUAUUAAUAUCCUCAUUGUUAACGAUGAAGAAACUAAAUCUCAGGAAGAAAAACUAAGUGAAGACAAAAGAAGGAUUUGAACUGAGAUUAUUCUGGGAGAUUCUGGGAGUCUUUUCUCCAACACUCCAGUGGCAUCUGACUAUGUGAGCUGAUAAGAUCUAUAGAUCUUUGCUGAACCUGAUUCUGGAAGGUACAACAAUUUCGGCCAUCUUCCUAAUCAAUACUGUGAGAUGGGACCAAAUUGAUUGUGUGGUACAUGAAGCACAGCCCAGGAAAAGCUGAUGAGACCUAGACACCAUUAUAUAUUUUGCCUGACUUAUUAACUUACUCUGUGUCAAAAUUGAGUCCGUUUUUGAUAAAAAUACAGUACUGAGGAACUGUUUCUUUCCUCCUUCUCCAUGUCCUUGUCUCUUCUUGGUUAACAAACCUGACUAGCAAUUGUUUUUCUUUUUUCUUUUUUUGCAGUGUUUGUGAAGAUUUUCUAACCUGGUAUCACACGG